UCGAACGUAACUUCAGUCCCAUCUUCGGCUUGUUUGUGUUUGGAGGCGCAGCAUCGAGCGUCCAAGGCAGGAACAAUGCCCUGAGCGCCGUCUGGAGGGAGGCUCUGUGGCAUGUACUCAUCGUUAGGACCUGGAACGAGAGCACGAGUGUGGAGGAGCGAUAUCAGUUUUCUCGAAGUCUCACCUCCGCGAAUGGUCUGUUUCGAAGCAUCACGCCUGGCGGAGGGUGUUACAAGAACGAAGGAGAUUACUUCGAGCCAUACUGGGAGGAGUCGUUCUUUGG
rnacentral:lncRNA from 1 species